UAGGGAAUCUUCCGCAAUGGACGCAAGUCUGACGGAGCAACGCCGCGUGAGUGAAGAAGGAUUUCGGUUCGUAAAACUCUGUUGUUAGAGAAGAACAGCGCAUAGAGUAACUGUUAUGCGUGUGACGGUAUCUAACCAGAAAGCCACGGCUAACUACGUGCCAGCAGCCGCGGUAAUACGUAGGUGGCAAGCGUUGUCCGGAUUUAUUGGGCGUAAAGCGAGCGCAAGCGGUCAAUUAAGUCUGAUGUGAAAGCCCCCGGCUCAACCGGGGAGGGUCAUUGGAAACUGGUUGACUUGAGUGCAGAAGAGGAGAGUGGAAUUCCAUGUGUAGCGGUGAAAUGCGUAGAUAUAUGGAGGAACACCAGUGGCGAAGGCGACUCUCUGGUCUGUAACUGACGCUGAGGUUCGAAAGCGUGGGUAGCAAACAGG
rnacentral:rRNA from 1 species